rnacentral:tRNA from 1 species
UGGCUGAGUGGUAAAGCGCUUGGUUUUCGAAACUAUGGGUCCAGGGUUCGAAUCCUGG